AUUGAACGCUGGCGGCAGGCUUAACACAUGCGAGUCGAGCGGGGUGAUGGUGCUUGCACUAUCACUUAGCGGCGGACGGGUGAGUAAUGCUUAGGAAUCUGCCUAUUAGUGGGGGACAACAUCUCGAAAGGAAUGCUAAUACCGCAUACGUCCUACGGGAGAAAGCAGGGGAUCACUUGUGACCUUGCGCUAAUAGAUGAGCCUAAGUCGGAUUAGCUAGUUGGUGGGGUAAAGGCCUACCAAGGCGACGAUCUGUAGCGGGUCUGAGAGGAUGAUCCGCCACACUGGGACUGAGACACGGCCCAGACUCCUACGGGAGGCAGCAGUGGGGAAUAUUGGAAAAUGGGGGGAACCCUGAUCCAGCCAUGCCGCGUGUGUGAAGAAGGCCUUAUGGUUGUAAAGCACUUUAAGCGAGGAGGAGGCUCUUUUGGUUAAUACCCAAGAUGAGUGGACGUUACUCGCAGAAUAAGCACCGGCUAACUCUGUGCCAGCCGCCGCCGUAA
rnacentral:rRNA from 1 species